rnacentral:rRNA from 1 species
GACGAACGCUGGCGGCGUGCUUAACACAUGCAAGUCGAACGGAAAGGCCUGCUUUCCCUUGUGGAUUGCGGGUACUCGAGUGGCGAACGGGUGAGUAACACGUGAGUGAUCUGCCCCCAACUUGGGUAUAAGCCUGGGAAACUGGGUCUAAUUCCCGAUAGGACUGCAGGGUGGUGCCUGUGGUGGAACACGAUUUUCUAGUGGUUGGGGAUGAGCUCGCGGCCUAUCAGCUUGUUGGUGGGGUAAUGGCCUACCAAGGCGGCGACGGGUAGCCGGCCUGGGAGGGUGGACGGCCACAGUGGGACUGAGAUACGGCCCAGACGCCUACGGGAGGCAGCAGUGGGGAAUAGUGCACAAUGGGCGGAAGCCUGAUGCAGCGACGCAGCGUGGGGGAUGACGGCCUUCGGGUUGUAAACUCCUUUCGACCGCGAGGAAGCCACCUGGUUGGAAGGGUGGUGACGGUAGUGGUAGAAGAAGCACCGGCUAACUACGUG